rnacentral:rRNA from 1 species
GUAAUACGGGGGGAGCAGCGUUGUUCGGAUUUACUGGGCGUAAAGGCGCGUAGGCGGCCACCGCAAGUCGACUGUGAAAUCUCCGGGCUUAACCCGGAAAGGUCAGCCGAUCUGCGGGGCUAGAGUGCAGAAGGGGCAACUGGAAUUCUCGGUGUAGCGGUGAAAUGCGCAGAUAUCGAGAGGAACACCAGUGGCGAAAGCGGCCACCUGGCCUGUACCUGACGCUCAAAUACGAAGCUAGGGGAGCGAACGGGAUUAGAAACCCCGGUAGUCCUAGCCAUAAACGAUGUUGACUAGGUGUCAGCGGUCUCAACCCCGUUGGUGCCGGAGCAAACGCACUAAGUCAACCGCCUGGGGACUACGGCCGCAAGGUUAAAACUCAAAGGAAUUGACGGGGACCCGCACAAGCAGCGGAGCGUGUGGUUUAAUUCGAGGCUACGCGAAGAACCUUACCAGGGAUUGACAUGCACGUAGUAGUGAAGCGAAAGCGGAACGACCCUUCGGGGAGCGUGCACAGGUGAUGCAUGGCUGUCGUCAGCUCGUGCCGUGAGGUGUUUGGUUAAGUCCACUAACGAGCGCAACCCCUAGCGCCAGUUACACGUGUCUGGCGCGACUGCCGGUAUUAAGCCGGAGGAAGGUGGGGAUGACGUCAAGUCAGCAUGUCCUUUAUACCCUGGGCUACACACACGCUACAAUGGCCGGUACAAUGGGUUGCCAAGCCGCGAGGCGGAGCCAAUCCUCAAAAGCCGGUCUCAGUUCGGAUUGCAGGCUGCAACCCGCCUGCAUGAAGUCGGAGUUGCUAGUAACCGCAGGACAGCGAUAUGCGGUGAAUACGUUCCCGGGUCUUGUACACACCGCCCGUCAGUCAUGGGAGC